CGAACGGGUGAGUAACGCGUGAGCAACCUACCUUAGUUACUGGGAUAGCCCGAGGAAACUCGGAUUAAUACCGGAUAUUCUUAUUUAAUCACAUGAUUUUUUAAGGAAAGGUCAGCCGAACUAAGAUGGGCUCGCGUUCUAUCAGCUAGUUGGUGGGGUAAUGGCCUACCAAGGCUACGACGGAUAGCUGGUCUGAGAGGACGAUCAGCCACACUGGGACUGAGACACGGCCCAGACUCCUACGGGAGGCUGCAGCAGGGAAUAUUGCGCAAUGAGCGAAAGCUUGACGCAGCGACACCGCGUGUGGGAUGACGGACCUAGGUUUGUAAACCACUUUCAGGAGGGAAGAAAAUGACGGUACCUCCACAAGAAGCCCCGGCCAACUACGUGCCAGCAGCCGCGGUAAUACGUAGGGGGCGAGCGUUGUCCGGAUUUAUUGGGCGUAAAGAGCUCGUAGGCGGUUCAACAAGUCGGUCGUGAAAGUUCAGGGCUCAACCCUGAAAUGUCGAUCGAUACUGUUGUGACUAGGAUACGGUAGAGGUGAGUGGAAUUCCGAGUGUAGCGGUGAAAUGCGUAGAUAUUCGGAGGAACACCAAUUGCGAAGGCAGCUCACUGGGCCGCUAUCGACGCUGAGGAGCGAAAGCUAGGGGAGCAAACAGGAUUAGAUACCCUGGUAGUCCUAGCUGUAAACGAUGGAUAC
rnacentral:rRNA from 1 species